UGGUAUGUUUGAGGUUCUAACCUAGGUCCGUAAUCCGGAUCGGGGACAAUGUAUGGUGGGUAGUUUGACUGGGGCGGGCUCCUCCCAAAGAGUAACGGAGGCGCGCGAAGGGAGGCUCAAGCUGGUCGGAAAUCAGCUGUAGAGUGCAAUGGCAUAAGCCUGCCUGACUGCGAGACUGACAAGUCGAGCAGAGACGAAAGUCGGUCAUAGUGAUCCGGUGGUCCCGCGUGGAAGGGCCAUCGCUCAACGGAUAAAAGGUACGCCGGGGAUAACAGGCUGAUUCCUCCCAAGAGUCCACAUCGACGGAGGAGUUUGGCACCUCGAUGUCGGCUCAUCACAUCCUGGGGCUGUAGCAGGUCCCAAGGGUACGGCUGUUCGCCGUUUAAAGUGGUACGCGAGCUGGGUUUAGAACGUCGUGAGACAGUUCGGUCCCUAUCUGCCGUGGGCGUUGGAGAUUUGAGGGGAGCUGCUUCUAGUACGAGAGGACCGAAGUGGACAUUCCUCUGGUGUUCCGGUUAUCAUGCCAAUGGUAUUGCCGGGUAGCUAUGAAUGGAAGGGAUAACCGCUGAAAGCAUCUAAGCGGGAAGCCUCACCCAAGAUAAGAUCUCCCUAGACUCUAGAAGUCUCUAAAGGUCCGUCGAAGACUACGACGUUGAUAGGUUCGGUGUGGAAGUGCAGCAAUGCAUGAAGCUAACGAAUACUAAUUAACCGUGAGACUUGAUCAUAUAACACCCAAGC
rnacentral:rRNA from 1 species